CGCUCGCUGAGGAGUCUCAUAAUAGGACGAAACGGCCGUCCAGUGC
rfam:Schistosoma mattheei strain Denwood, Zambia genome assembly, scaffold: SMTD_scaffold0002572